AAUGGGCGAAAGCCUGACGGAGCAACGCCGCAUGAGGGAUGAAGGCCUCUGGGCUGUAAACCUCUUUUAUCAAGGAAGAAGAUCUGACGGUACUUGAUGAAUAAGCCACGGCUAAUUCCGUGCCAGCAGCCGCGGUAAUACGGGAGUGGCAAGCGUUAUCCGGAAUUAUUGGGCGUAAAGCGUCCGCAGGCGGCCCUUCAAGUCUGCUGUUAAAAAGUGGAGCUUAACUCCAUCAUGGCAGUGGAAACUGUUGGGCUUGAGUGUGGUAGGGGCAGAGGGAAUUCCCGGUGUAGCGGUGAAAUGCGUAGAUAUCGGGAAGAACACCAGUGGCGAAGGCGCUCUGCUGGGCCAUCACUGACGCUCAUGGACGAAAGCCAGGGGAGCGAAAGGGAUU
rnacentral:rRNA from 1 species